GGGCAUUCUGGGCAGAGGAACUGGCAUUUGGAUGAUUUUGUUUGUAAUGAAUUAUUUUGCUGAGAGUGGCUUUAUGCCACUACUUUCUUUCAUUUUUUCAUGAACAAAAGACUGGGCUUAUAAAGGGGUGAUUUCACCAGAGGAAUAACUUGGAACAUACGAAUAGAAAAGGAACAACAGGAUUGCCUGUGUCUUGGGGAUGGAGGUAGGGAUAAGCACAAGGACACUGUGCUGAGAUGGGCAUUAUAAAGGCUCAGUUUAAACUGUGUUAUGGCAGGAAGCAGAGGGCUCUGUGAGACUCUUUAGGAAGACCUCUUUAAUACAAAGAAUGAGACACAACCCUUAUUUCUUGGGAUUGUCUGCCACAUGCACAAACUUUCUGACUCUUGUGGAUAAAACUGAUGACAAUGUAUGGCACCAAAGGUCAUCUCUCAAGUCCUUUUGGAGACAUGUCUGAUCUAAUUACCAAAACUUGCAGAUCUCACCAUUAGAAUCACAGUUUGCCUCUGGGGAGGCAGGGGGCCUUGGUGCAGGUGUGGAGAGUGCAGAAGGAAGCAUGAAUCGGUGUGCACUCUGGGCCCACUGCUUCCCAGGUCACUCAACUGACCACGAUCCUAUAUCUGCUUCGUGAUGAACUGGCCAGGGCAGAAAAUCAACAGAGAGGGCAUAGCAAACUGCAAAGUAGGCCAAGUUCAACCUCAGCUUCCUGCCCUCUUCUUACCAAAACAGGGAAGGACUUUGACAAGUUGCCAAGAAUUCUUUCUCACCCAGAGGGCCUGCUUUCCCAACAUGCAAGACAGCCGAUGAAUGAGCCAAGAGAAGGCAUUAUCUGAAAGGCCAUUUGGUGGUGGUAAGAAAUGUAGUAAGACAGAGCUUUCAAGAUUGGUUUGUUACCUGAGGAGAUAAUAUACUGUACCCUGAAAUUUUAAAAUUGUCAACAUCCCUAUGUGGGUUUGUGGGAGCGAAGGCUAUCGAUUAUCAUGGACUGAUACAUAGUGUAGAAGAGCAGAUGACCCUGAUGCUAAUCACAGAAUAACAAAGCAAGAAGAGAGAGAAACCCAAAAUGUGGUUGGGUUGUCUGUGUAUAAGAAGUACUAAUUAUAGUCAUUUAUGUAAAACUGCUUACCAUUGAUUGCUA